rnacentral:rRNA from 2 species
UACGAAGGGGGCUAGCGUUGCUCGGAAUGACUGGGCGUAAAGGGCGCGUAGGCGGUUGAUGUAGUCAGGCGUGAAAUUCCCGGGCUUAACCUGGGGGCUGCGUUUGAUACGCAUUGACUUGAGUGGGGAAGAGGGUCGUGGAAUUCCCAGUGUAGAGGUGAAAUUCGUAGAUAUUGGGAAGAACACCGGUGGCGAAGGCGGCGACCUGGUCCUUGACUGACGCUGAGGCGCGAAAGCGUGGGGAGCAAACAGG